rnacentral:rRNA from 1 species
UAGGGAAUCUUCGGCAAUGGACGAAAGUCUGACCGAGCAACGCCGCGUGAGUGAAGAGGGUUUUCGGAUCGUAAAACUCUGUUGUUAGAGAAGAACAAGGACGUUAGUAACUGAACGUCCCCUGACGGUAUCUAACCAGAAAGCCACGGCUAACUACGUGCCAGCAGCCGCGGUAAUACGUAGGUGGCAAGCGUUGUCCGGAUCUAUUGGGCGUAAAGCGAGCGCAGGCGGUUUCUUAAGUCUGAUGUGAAAGCCCCCGGCUCAACCGGGGAGGGUCAUUGGAAACUGGGAGACUUGAGUGCAGAAGAGGAGAGUGGAAUUCCAUGUGUAGCGGUGAAAUGCGUAGCUAUAUGGAGGAACACCAGUGGCGAAGGCGGCUCUCUGGUCUGUAACUGACGCUGAGGCUCGAAAGCGUGGGGAGCAAACAGG